UAGGGAAUCUUCGGCAAUGGACGAAAGUCUGACCGAGCAACGCCACGUGAGUGAAGAAGGUUUUCGGAUCGUAGAACUCUGUUGGUAGAGAAGAACGUUGGUGAGAGUGGAAAGCUCAUCAAGUGACGGUAACUACCCAGAAAGGGACGGCUAAAUACGUGCCAG
rnacentral:rRNA from 1 species